GGCUUUCAGCCUGCAGAGGUUCAGCUUCUCCCCUCGCCACUGGUGCUUCUGCAGCACACGGGAGACCACUGGUGCUUCUGCUGCACACAGGGGACCACUGAUGCUUCUGCAGCACACAGGGGAGACCACUGAUGCUUCUGCAGCACACGGGGGAGACCACUGGUGCUUCUGCAGCACACGGGAGACCACUGGUGCUUCUGCUGCACACGGGGGAGACCACUGAUGCUUCUGCUGCACACGGGGGAGACCACUGAUGCUUCUGCUGCACACGGGAGACCACUGAUGCUUCUGCUGCACACGGGAGACCACUGAUGCUUCUGCUGCACACGGGAGACCACUGAUGCUUCUGCGGCACACGGGAGACUACUGGUGCUUCUGCAGCACACGGGGGAGACCUCUGAUGCUUCUGCAGCACACGGGGGAGACCACUGGUGCUUCUGCAGCACACAGGAGACCACUGGUGCUUCUGCAGCACACGGGAGACCACUGAUGCUUCUGCAGCACACAGGAGACCACUGAUGCUUCUGCUGCACACGGGGGAGACCACUGAUGCUUCUGCAGCACACGGGAGAGACCACCGAUGCUUCUGCUGCACACGGGAGACCACUGAUGCUUCUGCUGCACACGGGAGACCACUGAUGCUUCUGCGGCACACGGGAGACUACUGGUGCUUCUGCAGCACACGGGGGAGACCUCUGAUGCUUCUGCAGCACACGGGGGAGACCACUGGUGCUUCUGCAGCACACGGGGGAGACCACUGAUGCUUCUGCUGCACACGGGGGAGACCACUGGUGCUUCUGCUGCACACGGGGGGACCAAUGGUGCUUCUGCAGCAAACGGGAGACCACUGAUGCUUCUGCAGCACACAGGAGACCACUGGUGCUUCUGCAGCACACAGGAGACCACUGGUGCUUCUGCAGCACACAAGGGGACCACUGAUUCUUCUGCAGCACACGGGGGAGACCAGUGCCUAGUGCAGCCUCACAGAGGCUUUGUAUGUACCCAAGAGAUCUCAAAACAUAUGUCCACACAAAUACUGAAGACAAAUGUCAGCAUUGGCAUUAUUCUUAACAGUCCUAAACCGGAAGUAAUCCAACGAAGUAAUGAAUGCAGGAACAGAAUGUGAUACAUUCACUUACGGAGUAUCACAGGCCAAUAAAAAGUGAUGGCGUCCUAAUACAAGCUAUGUGGCCAGCCUCGAAAACACUGUGAUGAGUGGAAGACAAUCACGAAGACUACCCAAGAGCAGGCAAGUCUACAAGCUAAGAAGUGGACUGAUGCUCGCCUAGAGAGACGAGUGGAGAGAGCGGAGAGUGGCUGGCAGUAGUCAGGGCCUCUCUGCAGAGACAAAGGGUCCUCAUCUUAAACGGCAAUGACGGUUAUGCAAAUGGUGAGCACAAACUCUUCAAGUGGGUGAACUUUGUGACUUAUAAAUUCUAUCUUAAUAAAGGGCUGGUGCAUGUUUAUGGAUUUGAAUUUA